GUGGGGAAUCUUGCGCAAUGGGCGAAAGCCUGACGCAGCCAUGCCGCGUGAAUGAUGAAGGUCUUAGGAUUGUAAAAUUCUUUCACCGGGGACGAUAAUGACGGUACCCGGAGAAGAAGCUCCGGCUAACUUCGUGCCAGCAGCCGCGGUAAUACGAAGGGGGCUAGCGUUGCUCGGAAUUACUGGGCGUAAAGGGCGCGUAGGCGGACAGUUUAGUCAGAGGUGAAAGCCCAGGGCUCAACCUUGGAAUUGCCUUUGAUACUGGCUGCCUUGAGUACGGGAGAGGUGAGUGGAACUCCGAGUGUAGAGGUGAAAUUCGUAGAUAUUCGGAAGAACACCAGUGGCGAAGGCGACUCACUGGCCCGUUACUGACGCUGAGGCGCGAAAGCGUGGGGAGCAAACAGGAUUAGAAACCCGGGUAGUCC
rnacentral:rRNA from 1 species